AGAGUUUGAUCCUGGCUCAGGAUGAACGCUGGCGGCGUGCUUAACACAUGCAAGUCGAGCGAAGCACCUUGACGGAUUUCUUCGGAUUGAAGCCUUGGUGACUGAGCGGCGGACGGGUGAGUAACGCGUGGGUAACCUGCCUCAUACAGGGGGAUAACAGUUGGAAACGGCUGCUAAUACCGCAUAAGCGCACAGUACCGCAUGGUACGGUGUGAAAAACUCCGGUGGUAUGAGAUGGACCCGCGUCUGAUUAGGUAGUUGGUGGGGUAACGGCCUACCAAGCCGACGAUCAGUAGCCGACCUGAGAGGGUGACCGGCCACAUUGGGACUGAGACACGGCCCAAACUCCUACGGGAGGCAGCAGUGGGGAAUAUUGCACAAUGGGGGAAACCCUGAUGCAGCGACGCCGCGUGAGCGAUGAAGUAUUUCGGUAUGUAAAGCUCUAUCAGCAGGGAAGAAAAUGACGGUACCUGACUAAGAAGCCCAGGCUAACUACGUGCCAGCAGCUGCGGU
rnacentral:rRNA from 1 species